CACCCCGUAAACGUUGGGAACUAGUUGUGGGGACCAUUCCACGGUUUCCGUGACGCAGCUAACGCAUUAAGUUCCCCGCCUGGGGAGUACGGCCGCAAGGCUAAAACUCAAAGGAAUUGACGGGGACCCGCACAAGCGGCGGAGCAUGCGGAUUAAUUCGAUGCAACGCGAAGAACCUUACCAAGACUUGACAUAUAGAGGAAACGUCUGGAAACAGUCGCCCCGCAAGGUCUCUAUACAGGUGG
rnacentral:rRNA from 1 species